GACCUCGUGGCACAACGGUAGCGUGUCUGAUUCCAGAUCAGAAGGUUAUGUGUUGAAAUCACGUCGGGGUCA
rfam:Larimichthys crocea isolate SSNF unplaced genomic scaffold scaffold52, whole genome shotgun sequence.